GGGGGGGGGGGGGGGUCACGUGACGAUAUUUUGAUUGAGAUCAAAGGAAAGCACUCAUCAAACAUAUUACCUAAAAUGUCAUUAAGCUUUUGAACAUUUUCAGAUGGAUUUAGACAAUCAAAAAACAUAUCCCAUUCCAACUCUUGCAACUUCUCACGCGCGGUCUACGCGAAUAAUGUUCCACCCCAUGUUCCCCGGGGAACAUGGGGUGGAACAUUGUCAAAAGGAACGCAGGCUCGCUAAUUGAUGACGUAAGGCGUGAUAUCGCGAUUAAUUUCAUGCUCACGUGGCACAAACUAAGCUUCCUGAUUGGACAAUUUGAAUUUGAGGUAUAAUAUUAUCAGAUAGCUUAUACUGUGACUGUACUUUGAUACAGCAAUAAGUUGUGUUCGACAAUUUCACUAGAAGUUCCAACACUAUCUGGUGGAAAAAUUAACAACAUUCUUAAGUUUAUGAAUUUAGAAAAAUAUACAGUGGAACAAUCUACAGUUUUUAGAUAUAGUCUAAUAUGGAUAUGUAAUUAAAAUUGUGUCCAACCAACCUGUUUGAUCUUGCCUUUGUGAUAUUGAAGCAGUC